ACUAGUUUUGAAUUUUUUUUAGAGAUCAGAUUUUUAAGACUCAACCAAAGUAUUAAUUCCUUUUUCUGCAAUUUCCAUUUGACCUCUACCAUUUCUAUGGAUCAGAAAGUAGAGAUUUAAUCCCACUGAGAUUAGACAGAAACUUGUGAAGUGCAUCAAACCUCAUCAGAGCUGCCGAUAUAAGAUUUGUCUAUCAUCUCUAAUAAAACUUUCGAUGCAUUCCUUGAAGUGAUCUGUGAUUUAGUUAAUAAUAAGAAAAGGAAAAGCAACAAAAUUUAAUAACUUUACAGUUCAGUUCAAUUAUCGUGAAAACAAAAUUGUGAAACCUUGUCAUACUUCUUCAUGAUCUUAGAGAAUGCCAAUAGAUUCAAGAAAUGAAACAUCGAUUAUCCACAUGUCAGUUACGCUUAAAUUACAGAAAAGAAUAGAAAUUAGUUUAUAUAUAUUAGCAAGCGGGGAAAGGGAUGAAGGGGACUGCAUAUUACCUGCAAUUACUCUGUUUACUACACGGGUAAGAAAGAAGAUUUAGGUAUCAAAUGAGUAAAAUCACGAUAAACCCUUAAUAAGAGGCCAAAAUAAAUUACACAUUCAAACUGCAAAAUAUGUUCUUUACAUCACUGAAAACUAUAUUUUCCAAAGAGGACUACAACAAACAAGCACACAAUCUUCAAUUGACAUACAAGAAAUCAAAUUCAGUUACUUCCUCACAAUCAGCUUUGCCCUUGCAUGCCCUUCACUUAUUUGAAAUUGACUCCCUAACCCAAAAUGAGCCAUCAACAGCCAAACCAAAGUGAUGAGCUGCCCACCUUUGCUGAGUUGUGAGGCAUGGGUAAUGGCUCUGCAACGACACGCUGCAUAGGACAGCAAUUCGACCCAAACUUUGCUCAUUAUCUCCCAUUUUUUUUCCUCUCCUAAUUUAUUCAUCUCUUUGGCCAACAUGGAUGCAUCAAACAACACAGAUUUGCUUCUAUCUCCUUUAACAGCAACUGGUUUUACUGCUGUAUCAACACCAAGGAUACUAUUGCAGGCAUGUUUCUGCACUUUAUCUGGUACUGAAUCCCCUUUGCAACAGCAUAUCUUAAAGCAGCAAAAGAUAUUCAAGCAUGAGCAUGUCGUUUCCUCUAGCUUUUUUAUUUACUUUUUGCCAUUGGAUUAGAUUCAGAUAUAGUGACUGUAUUUGUAUUUACUUUUUUAUUUGAUGCUUUGCAUUUCAUAAAUUUUCUAGCUUUGGAAUGGAUGGUAUGGUAGACAUUGUGUACAUGAUUGUUGGAUAAAUGAUGCAGGGAUUGUCAAACAGGAGGACAGGUGCAACAAGUAUAUAUUUGGUUGUGUGUAAUGUUAAAAAAGAAGUGCUGUGGCUGCUGCCUGUCAUGUAACAUAUGAAGGAAUAUAUCUUUUUGUUUUAUGUUUUGGUGGAAAACACAUGAUUCUACUGCUUUGAUGCAGAGGUGGCUCAACCAUUAAGCCAUUUACCCUUUCACUCAAGACCCGCCUAAAAAAUAUGUAUAUAAAAAAAUCUUAUUAAUGAAGGUCCCAAUUUUCCGAAGAUAAGGCUUCAUUUAGAUGUUUAGCCUGAAGCUUCAAAAAACCUCGGGCUGCUACUUUGUUCGGUGCCUCAAAGAUUGGAUGAGAUGAGGCACACAGUUUCAGAUUUGUGAACUUGUGAUGCUUUUUUUCAUCACCUGGUUUUGUUUGUGUGAAAAAAGGUUUUUUCACAGGGUAAUGUCUCCUUUAACAGGCUUAACAUGGCAACUCUUAGAAAUCUGAAAAUCAAGACGUCUACUUGCAAACGUAUCGUUAAGGAGAUGCAUUCCUAUGAGAAAGAGGUUGAGAGAGAAGCUGCAAAGACUGCUGAUAUGAAGGAGAAAGGAGCUGAUCCUUAUGACCU